rnacentral:snoRNA from 1 species
CCCCGAAAUGAUAACUGGAUGGAAUGAUCGGUGUUCAGUCCCUUUCUGUCUUUUAAUUUUUCGGGAGAUCAAAGAGGGAAUGCUUCUUACACGGUUUCAGGUCGUCUGUCCCUCCAACCGUUUUCUUUCCCUCGACAUUU